rnacentral:rRNA from 1 species
UACGUAGGUGGCAAGCGUUGUCCGGAAUUAUUGGGCAUAAAGCGCGCGCAGGCGGCCUUUUAAGUCUGAUGUGAAAUCUUGCGGCUCAACCGCAAGCGGCCAUUGGAAACUGGGAGGCUUGAGUACAGAAGAGGAGAGUGGAAUUCCACGUGUAGCGGUGAAAUGCGCAGAUAUCAGGAAGAACACCCGUGGCUAAGGCGGCUCUCUAGUACGGUACUGACGCUGAGACGCGAAAGCGUGGGGAGCGAACAGG